rnacentral:rRNA from 1 species
AGUAUUGGAACGUGCCCAGUAGCGGGGGAUAACUACGCGAAAGCGUAGCUAAUACCGCAUACGCCCUGAGGGGGAAAGCGGGGGACCGAAAGGCCUCGCACUAUUGGAGCGGCCAAUAUCGGAUUAGCUAGUUGGUGGGGUAAAGGCCUACCAAGGCGACGAUCCGUAGCUGGUUUGAGAGGACGACCAGCCACACUGGGACUGAGACACGGCCCAGACUCCUACGGGAGGCAGCAGUGGGGAAUUUUGGACAAUGGGGGCAACCCUGAUCCAGCCAUCCCGCGUGUGCGAUGAAGGCCUUCGGGUUGUAAAGCACUUUUGGCAGGAAAGAAAUGGCGCUGGAUAAUACCUGGCGCAGAUGACGGUACCUGCAGAAUAAGCACCGGCUAACUACGUGCCAGCAGCCGCGGUAAUACGUANGGUGCAAGCGUUAAUCGGAAUUACUGGGCGUAAAGCGUGCGCAGGCGGUUCGGAAAGAAAGGUGUGAAAUCCCCGAGCUUAACUUGGGAACGGCACUUUUAACUACCGAGCUAGAGUGUGUCAGAGGGAGGUGGAAUUCCGCGUGUAGCAGUGAAAUGCGUAGAGAUGCGGAGGAACACCGAUGGC